GACGAACGCUGGCGGCGUGCUUAACACAUGCAAGUCGAACGGAAAGGCCCUGCUUUUGUGGGGUGCUCGAGUGGCGAACGGGUGAGUAACACGUGAGUAACCUGCCCUUGACUUUGGGAUAACUUCAGGAAACUGGGGCUAAUACAGGAUAGGAGCUACUGCUGCAUGGUGGGGGUUGGAAAGUUUCGGCGGUUGGGGAUGGACUCGCGGGUUAUCAGCUUGUUGGUGGGGUAGGGGUUUACCAAGUCUUUGACGGGUAGCCGGCCUGAGAGGGUGACCGGCCACAUUGGUACUGAGAUACGGCCCAGACUCCUACGGGACGCAGCAGUCGGGAAUAUUGCACAAUGGGCCGAAGCCUGAUGCAGCAACGCCGCGUGCGGGAUGACGGCCUUCUGGUUAUAAACCGCUUUCGCCUGUGACGAAGCGUGAGUGACGGUAAUGGGUAAAGAAGCACCGGCUAACUACGUG
rnacentral:rRNA from 1 species